AGAGUUUGAUCAUGGCUCAGGAUGAACGCUGGCGACAUGGAUAAGGCAUGCAAGUCGAGUGGGUUUAGGCCCACGGCGAACGAGGUAGUAACACGUAGGUACGUACCCCCGAGUCGGGCAUAACUAGUCGAAAGAUUAGAUAAUUCCCGAUAGUCUCUUCGGAGUAAAGAUUUAUCGCUUGGGGAGCGGCCUGCGGGAUAUCAGCUAGUUGGUAAGGUAAUGGCUUACCAAGGCUAUGACGUCUAGGGGAGGUGAGAGCUGACCCCACCGGCGGUACUGAGACCGGACCACACACCACGGGUGGCUGCGUCGAGAAUCUUCCGCAUGGACAAAGUUUGACGGAGCGAUGUCGCGUGAUGGAUGAAGUUCUAGGAACGUAAACAUCUUUUAUCGGGGAGAAAAUUUUGAUAGUACCCCGAGGAAUAAGGGGUUGCUAAACUCGUGCCAGCAGCAGCGGUAAUACGAGUGCCCCAAGCGUUAUCCGGAAUUAUUGGGCGUAAAGGGUGUGUAGGCCGCGUGAUUAGUCUUUGGUCAAAGCUCCCGGCUUAACCGGGAAAAGGCCGAAGAAACGGUCCCCCUAGAGGAGGCGAAAGGUCUAUGGAACCCAUGGUGUAGGAGUGAAAUCCGUUGAUAUCUGGGGAACACCAAAAGCGAAGGCCAUAGACUGGCGCCCUACUGACGCGAAACACGAAAGCGUGGGGAUCAAACGGGAUUAGAUACCCCGGUAGUCCACGCCCUAAACGAUGAUCACUAGGUUUUUGGAGUAUCGACCCC
rnacentral:rRNA from 1 species